rnacentral:lncRNA from 1 species
CUGCAGUAUGCGGAAAGGGAUGUUAAGUUGCAUUUAACCUAGCACAGCAGAGCUUGGAACUCUACCUUCCUGCCUCUACUACCCAGACUGAAGGGCAGACACUGGUCAAGGAAAUUCUACUUUUGAUCAUCUCUACAGACUGGCUAACAAUAUCUGCGUUUAACUGGGACCACAUUCCAAUUCAAAUAAUGUAUAAAAUGUAAAGGGACUGAUUUGGGGGCAAACCUGUUCCUAACUGAGGUGUUCCCAGAACCAGUUUCCCGUGGGCUCCCUCUCAAUUCCCUCCCCAUCGAAUGAAGCCACAUCCAACCCCCAGCCACACACCUUUUCUACCUGUUUCAGGAAUUAGCGAAGGUCUCUCUUGCUGGCCCGCUGGCAGAGGUGGGGAAGCAGGCUUCUUUUCUGGCACAUCUUUCUCAUCCCUCUUCUGCCCCUUCAGCUCCUCGGGCAGUGAUGGUGAGGGUGGCUGGUUAUCACUGCUCUCCUUGGCAGUCUCACUGGGCUCGGAGUCGAGCUUCCCAGCUCGCCUAGCAAGAAGCUCCACUAAGUGGGGUCUGCUCAGUUUGGAGAGUGGGGAUGAAGGUGGGGGCUGGCUUUCUCUCCUGGGGAAGGGAUGGGCCAUGCUUGAGGAACGUGGCUUCAGGCUCGCUCUCUCCAGAGACACUCCCAGUUGCGGGGGUGGCCCCACCCACACUGUCUCCUGUGCUGCUGUGCCUCUUUUUCUUCUUCUGUUCGGCCUGUUGGUCACAGUGGAAGCGCAAGGAAUAGUUGGUCCUUCUCAAUUUUAUUCCAAAGGGCGAGGCCUUUUCCUCGCCUCCUGGCAUCGCAGGGUCUGGGUUUCCCACGUCACUCGUGGUCUCGCUGUCCAAAGUGGUCGUGGACUCCGUGCGGGACGCAGCUUUCUGCGGAGAAGGCAGGCCUGGAACGAGGAAAGAUGGAAGGUCUUUGGCAAAUUUGCAUCCGUCUGUGGUGUCUGGUGGCUCCUGGCUUACCUCUUGCUGAGCCGCUGCAUGAGGCUGGGGUGCUGUUUCUUCGCUGGGUGCUAGCCCCGGCUUUUUCCUUCCGCUCUCCCCGUCCAGGCUUUGUCUGAAGGUCUCUGCGCCGCUGUCCGAAAACUUUUGCCAGGCAGGCAUGAUGGAGAACUUGGCGUUGACUGGCGGCGUCCUGCGCACGUUCCCUCGGGAAUCGCACCGCGCUCGAGGCACUGGCUCGUCCCCGGCUCUGGCCGGCUCUCUGUCGCCACGUUGGUCGCCCUCCGAGUUCUUCAGGAUUCUGGAUCGAAUGGAAGCCCACUCGGCUAGCGCGGCCGCAUUGCUUGGUGACUCUGGGGCAGGCCUGGACUUCCCACUGCCGGCCCUGGACUCCACAGUGGGGACGUCCAUAGGGCGCUUUUCUUCUGACAGCCCCAGGAGGGACUUACAUGCUGUGUCCUUGAUCUGGCUCAAGUUGACCGCCGGGCCGCAGAGCUGCGCUCCGGUGACCAAAAUGGCCGUGUGUGGGAUGCUCAGCGCUGAUGGCAGGGCGUGUGAGGCGGCACCGCGGGGCGCGGGCGGUUCCUGGGCCGCUGGGGCCAAGCUCGCGUCCUUAGCGGGUGUUACCGGGCUCAGGUUGACUUUGGGGAAGAGAAUCUGCCUACUCCCAGAGGAAACCUGGAAUGUGUAGGGCCGGGGCAUGGUCUGCCGCUCGUCCACCUCCUGCCACCGGAGCUCCUCCACCUUCCGGUCUAUGUCUGCCGCAGUAGCUUCAUUCUCCUCCGGGGCCGGUGUUCCUUCCAUCUGUCUCUCCUGCGGCUGGGGACUGUCUGUCUGAGCGGUUUCUUUCCCUUCCCCGUCCACACCACCGCAGUGCGCGUCCAAGUCUCCGCUCUGCUCGGCCGGCUCGCCCUCUCCUCUAGGCUCCUCCGCGAUCUCUCUCUGCCCUGCGGAUUCCAGGUCUUCUCGUUCCCGUUCCCCUGGCUUCUCAAGGUCCCGCUGCAGUGGGCUUCGCUGGUCAGCAUCGUCCGUUAGCCAAGGCUGGCUCUCUCCUUCUGGACUCUGCGGACCUUCCUCCACCAGCGGCUCUGGUGUCUCCUUUCCUUUCAGCUCUUCUAUGCGCUUGGCCUCCUCCUCCUCCUCUUGCAGCAUCCCCUUGGCGUCCUCCUCCUGAGCGCGCUGCCUCUCCGCCUCGCGCUGCCUUAGUUCCUCCUCUUGGCUUUCAGCAUCGCGCUGCCUCAGUUUCUCCUGCCUCUCAGCCUCCUCCCGUUGCCUCAGUUCCUCCUCCUGCCUCUCGGCCUCGCGCUGCCUCAGUUUCUCCGCCUGCCUCUCGGCCUCGCGUUGUCUUGCUUCCUCCUCCUGCCUCUCGGCCUCGCGCUGCCUCAGUUUCUCCGCCUGCCUCUCGGCCUCGCAUUGUCUCGCUUCCUCCUCUUGCCUCUCGGCCUCGCGCUGCUUCUGUUCCUCCUCUUGCCUCUCAGCCUCGCGCUGCCUCAGUUUCUCCGCCUGCCUCUCGGCCUCUUCCUGCUCACGCCUGCGCUCUUCUGCCUCCAGGCGGGCGGGAUCGUCGGCUCCCCCCAGCUCUUGCUCUGUACAGCGCUGUUCCUCCGGACCAGACUGGUGCCCUUCCUCUGGAGGUACCUUCCCUGCCCGUGGCUGCAGGCCCACCUCUUCGCCCUCCUCCCCCUCCUCCUUCACCUCUUCUUCCUCCUCCCCCUCCUCCUCCUCUUCCAGCAGCUCCUGUCUGAGGCUCUCCUCCCAAAGCCUCCUCUCCAGCGCCUGCCGCCUCUGCUCUUCCUGGCGCCUCUUCUCAGCGGCUUCGGCUUUUUGUCGUUUGCACUUGGCUUCAAGUUCCCGCCAAUACUCUUCGUGCAGUCUUUUCUCUUCGUGGGAUUCCAAAGGUUCUGGUUCCUCUCCGUGCCAAAUGUGCUUGUCUUCUCCUAGCUGCCCGUUCUGGUCCAGGGAGGACUGACUCUCAAAGCUGCCCGGUUCAUUCUGUCGGUCCUGGCA